GCCUCGAUAGCUCAGGUCGGUCGGAGCGACGGCUUUGUAAGCCGUUGGUCGCGGGUUCAAAUCCCGCUCGAGGCU
rnacentral:tRNA from 1 species